UACAUACUCCCUCCGUCCGUAAAUACUUGUCAUCAAAAUGGACAAAAAGAAAUGUAUCUAGAACUAAAAUACAUCUAGAUACACCCCCUUUUGUUUAUUUUGAUGACAAGUAUUUCCGGACGGAUGGAGUAUCAA
rnacentral:pre_miRNA from 1 species